rnacentral:rRNA from 1 species
GGAGGUGGCAAGCGUUGUUCGGAAUUACUGGGCGUAAAGGGCGCGUAGGCGGCUAGGCAAGUCAGGUGUGAAAGCCCCGGGCUUAACUCGGGAAUUGCAUCUGAAACUGCUGUGCUUGAGUUCUGGAGGGGGUAGUGGAAUUCCCAGUGUAGCGGUGAAAUGCGUAGAUAUUGGGAGGAACACCUGCGGCGAAGGCGGCUACCUGGACAGAAACUGACGCUGAGGCGCGAAAGCUAGGGGAGCGAACGGGAUUAGAUACCCCGGUAGUCCUAGCUGUAAACGAUGGGUACUUGGUGUUGGGGGUAUUGAGUCCCUCAGUGCCGGAGUUAACACGUUAAGUGCCCCGCCUGGGGAGUACGGUCGCAAGACUGAA